rnacentral:rRNA from 1 species
GACGAACGCUGGCGGCGUGCUUAACACAUGCAAGUCGAACGAUGAUCUGAGAGCUUGCUCUUGGGGAUUAGUGGCGAACGGGUGAGUAACACGUGAGUAACCUGCCCUGGACUCUGGGAUAACCCCGAGAAAUCGGAGCUAAUACCGGAUAGGACCUUGCACCGCAUGGUGUGGGGUGGAAAGUCUUUUCGGUCUGGGAUGGACUCGCGGCCUAUCAGCUUGUUGGUGAGGUAAUGGCUCACCAAGGCGUCGACGGGUAGCCGGCCUGAGAGGGUGACCGGCCACACUGGGACUGAGACGCGGCCCAGACUCCUACGGGAGGCAGCAGUGGGGAAUAUUGCACAAUGGGCGCAAGCCUGAUGCAGCAACGCCGCGUGCGGGAUGACGGCCUUCGGGUUGUAAACCGCUUUUAGUAAGGAAGAAGGGGCUUCGGCCUUGACGGUACUUGCAGAAAAAGGACCGGCUAACUACGUGCCAGCCGCCGCGGUAAGAC